CAGGUCCUCCUACGGGAGGCAGCAGUAGGGAAUCUUGCGCAAUGGGCGAAAGCCUGACGCAGCCAUGCCGCGUGAAUGAUGAAGGUCUUAGGAUUGUAAAAUUCUUUCACCGGGGAAGAUAAUGACGGUACCCGGAGAAGAAGCCCCGGCUAACUUCGUGCCAGCAGCCGCGGUAAUACGAAGGGGGCUAGCGUUGCUCGGAAUUACUGGGCGUAAAGGGCGCGUAGGCGGAUACUUAAGUUGGGGGUGAAAGCCCGGGGCUCAACCUCGGAAUUGCCUUCAAUACUGGGUAUCUUGAGUUCGGGAGAGGUGAGUGGAAUGCCGAGUGUAGAGGUGAAAUUCGUAGAUAUUCGGCGGAACACCAGUGGCGAAGGCGACUCACUGGCCCGAUACUGACGCUGAGGCGCGAAAGCGUGGGGAGCAAACAGGAUUAGAUACCCUGGUAGUCCACGCUGUAAACGAUGAGUGCUAGUUGUCGGCAUGCAUGCAUGUCGGUGACGCAGCUAACGCAUUAAGCACUCCGCCUGGGGAGUACGGUCGCAAGAUUAAAACUUAAAGGAAUUGACG
rnacentral:rRNA from 1 species